ACAUACGAAUCCGAUUCGUUCUAACCAAUUCGAGCUUUCGAACAUCGUUGCUUUCGUACGAACGUGCCAUUCUUGUUUACGUACGUAUGCGUAUCCGUAUUCUUUUUGCUCUCGUUCGCAAACGUCAGUCAAAAGUUGCGAAUCGCUGUACGAAUCGCCGGCGCCGGUAGUUUUUUCUCGUUUUUCUGCUGUUUUGUGCAAGUUUUAUUUUUUGAAAAAUCGUAUAAGCCGAAGAAAAUUUGUUUUGUGAAGUGUGUGCAACAUUUGCGGUAAUCGAUUUCUAAAAAUUUUCCAGUUUUGGGAACGGAAUACCGCCAGUCGAAAGUUGCGGAUGGCUGUACGAAUCGCCGUCGCCACGGGUUUUUCUCGUUUUGUGUUUUUGAAAAAUCAUUUGGCUGAAGAAAAUUUCUAGCUAUGCGAAAUGUGUGCAACAUUUUCAAGAAAAACAUAUGUGACAUGGAUUUUUAAAACAGUUUCCAGUUUUGCAAACGGAGCAGCAACGUUAGUCAAAAAUUGUGGAUCGCUAUACGAAUCUUUUACAAAUCGCCGGCGCCGGUAGGUUUUUCUCUAUUUUUUUUUUUUGCUGUUUUGUGUUAGUUAACUGGAAAAAUCGAAUGAGCCGAAGAAAAUUUAUUUAGUGGAUUGUUUAAUAAAUAAACGUUAUCGAUUUUCUAAAAUUCAUUUUGGUAACGGAACGAAACAUCAAAGUCAGUCGAAAGUUGCGAAUCGCUGCGAGAAUCGCCAGCGCCGGUAGUUUUUCCUCGUUGUUUCGCUGCUUGGUGUUGGUUCUUUGAAAAAAAUUGAAUAAGUUGAAGAAAAUUUGUUGUUUCGUGAAGUGUGUGCAACAUCCAGAAAAACAUCCAGGAUUUGUGACAAUCGAUUUUUAAAAUCUUCAGUUUCAGAAACGAAACACCGUUAGUCGAAAGUUGCGGAAACGAAUGUACGAAUCGCCGUCGUCGCGGGUUUGUUUCUCGUUUUCCUGCUGUUUUGUGUAAGGUUUUUUUUUUUUUGAAAAAUGGCCGAAGAAAAUUUCUAGUUUAGCGAAGUUUGUGUAACAUUUUCAAGAAAAACAUUUGUGACAAUGGAUUUUUUAAAAUCUAAAUGAAUCGCUAUACGUAUCUCUCUACAAAUCGACGGCGCCGGUACUUUUUUCUUGUUUUUUGCAAGUUGCAAAUGUUUGUACAAAUCGCUGUCGCCGCGGGAUGCUUUGGUUGUUUUGUGUGAAAAAAUCGAAUAAGUUGGACAUUAUUGUUCUAGUGAAAUGUUCAGUGCUAAGAAACCAUGCGGUAAUUAAUUUAAAAAAUGUUGGAAAUUGAGCACAGCCGAUAGAAAUUUAUUGAGGUUUGCCGUUAGUUCUGGGAGAAUGGCGAUAAAAAAUUUAUAAGUCGCUACCAUAAAUGUACUAAUUAUCAAUAAUCUGCCGAAAAUUUGGAUCGUCGGGAACAGCAAAAAGUCAACCACCAAGUAGAUUCUGAUUGGCGCAGAUAGUUGACUGGGUAACAUGAUAUAGGAUAAUCAAUUUAACAUUACUUAAGUGAUAUAGAUGCCGAUGUGUAUACUAGGAAUAAUCGAUCAGGAGCUACUGGAAAUUACUUAAAGUCAAAUCGAAUCACGAUUCUCCUUCCGACAAAUAUUUAUACUUGCUAUGAGAGAUAACUUUGCUGGGAGACUAAGAAUACAACAAAGGAACCAAUUCCCUCGGAUGCUUCACAAAACCGCGUGCUACAAUUCAGAGAGCUGGUUCCGUUUAGUGUUGAUCAAAAUACAAAUGCCGUAUAAUUUAAUUUAAUUUUAUCAAUAAUAAUAAUGAAUUAAUUUUAAUUAUUUUCAUAAUCGAUUGUUAUAUAUAUCUAGUUAUGGUUCUGACGUGAAGCACUUUGGUUUAUCUUCCGGGAGCGUAAAUUAUUUAAUAAAGGUGAUUGACAUUAGAACGCAAUCGCAAGUUCGAGUUUUUUCCCAGCAAUAAUUUUUUUUAACAACAAGUUUAACGAAAGUAUUCAUAUUUGUGAUCGAAAAACUAGAAAAAAAGCCUAUUUAGAUCUAAAAAGAUAAAAAAUCAAUCAACUGGUUCCAGAGGCGUCGCGUGGUUGAUUUCGUCACAUGUGCACCGAACAUUUAUUUAAGUUCUUUUUCCUUAAAUGAAAGAAGCAAAUCAAACCUAAGUGAUUGAUGCUUUGAAUGAAAGGGUGUCGCUAGUAUGCUUACUUGUUUUUAUAGGUUAUUAUAUUUCGAUAAUUGCAUAUGCUCGGAUAUUAGGGAAUAGUGUACCUGUGCAGUGCACAGGUGGACUCGACGCCAUUAAUUGGUUAAAAAAUUAUGGAUGUUUGAAAAUAAAAUACUGCGAAUAAAGCCGUUUUUAUUGGGCACCCUAUUAUUAGGUUUAAUUAAAUAUUCACGAUGUCAGCAUUGCAAAUUGUUUCUCUCAAAAAGCCCUAGAAGUCGUUCAAAGAUAGUUUUAAUGUAACAAUUUAAAUAAAAGCAGUAAGAGCGAAAAAUUAGUUU